ACUAAUUUGGCAGAGAAGUGCAGUGGAUUUAGAAUUCAUAUAUAUAAUUUCAUAUUAUAAGUAGUA
rnacentral:tRNA from 1 species